UACAGAGAGUGCAAGCGUUAAUCGGAAUUACUGGGCGUAAAGCGCACGUAGGCGGAUACUUAAGUCAGAUGUGAAAGCCCCGAGCUUAACUUGGGAAUUGCAUCUGAAACUGGGUGUCUAGAGUAUGGUAGAGGGAAGUGGAAUUUCCGGUGUAGCGGUGAAAUGCGUAGAUAUCGGAAAGAACACCAGUGGCGAAGGCGACUUCCUGGACCAAUACUGACGCUGAGGUGCGAAAGCGUGGGGAGCAAACAGG
rnacentral:misc_RNA from 1 species